AACGAACGCUGGCGGCAUGCCUAACACAUGCAAGUCGAACGAGACCUUCGGGUCUAGUGGCGCACGGGUGCGUAACGCGUGGGAACCUGCCCUUAGGUUCGGAAUAACUCCCCGAAAGGGGUGCUAAUACCGGAUAAUGUCUUCGGACCAAAGAUUUAUCGCCUUUGGAUGGGCCCGCGUUGGAUUAGCUAGUUGGUAGGGUAAAAGCCUACCAAGGCGACGAUCCAUAGCUGGUCUGAGAGGAUGAUCCGCCACACUGGGACUGAGACACGGCCCCGACCCCUACGGGAGGGAGCAGUGGGGAAUAUUGGAAAAUGGGCGAAAGCCUGAUCCCGCAAUGCCGGGUGAGUGAUGAAGGCCUUAGGGUUGGAAAGCUCUUUUACCCGGGAUGAUAAUGACAGUACCGGGAGAAUAAGCUCCGGCUAACUCCGUG
rnacentral:rRNA from 1 species